rnacentral:tRNA from 1 species
GGCUCAUAACCCGAAGGUCGUAGGUUCAAAUCCUGCCCCCGCUACCA